AGGAAUAAAGAGUGUAUAUCAAAAAGACCACUGUGUUGAGGAACAUUUGGCUUGGACAUUUAUUGGCGGUAUAAUAUGCGUAACCUUACUACUUAUAAUCAGAAUAGCCGUAAACAUCAACAAGGACAAGCUUGAGUUAAUCCUAGAAAAAAAGGAAUGGAGGAGAGAGGACUUUUGUUGGAAUAGCUACUGUUUGUUUCACUCUAAUGUUUG